CGGCGUAGCUUAACACAUGCAAGUACGAGCGAAGUCACUUUUUAGUAACGUCUUACGGGAGGGAAGAGAGGGUGACGUUAGCGGCGGACGGGUGAGUAACGCGUGGGCAACUGCCUUACACAGGGGAUACAAUUAGAAUGAUUGCUAAUACCGCAUAAGACCACGGUACUGCAUGGUACAGUGGUAAAAACUGAGGUGGUGUAAGAUGGGCCCGCGUCUGAUUAGGUAGUUGUGGGGUAGAAGCCUACCAAGCCGACGAUCAGUAGCCGACCUGAGAGGGCGACCGGCCACAUUGGGACUGAGACACGGCCCAAACUCCUACGGGAGGCAGCAGUGGGGAAUAUUGCACAAUGGGGGAAACCCUGAUGCAGCGACGCCGCGUGAGUGAGGAAGUAUUUCGGUAUGUAAAGCUCUAUCAGCAGGGAAGAAAAUGACGGUACCUGACUAAGAAGCCCCGGCUAACUAUGUG
rnacentral:rRNA from 1 species